rnacentral:rRNA from 1 species
UUUCGCAAUGCCCGAAAGGGUGACGAAGCGACGCCGCGUGGGUGAGGAAGGCCCUCGGGUUGUAAAGCCCUGUCAGGAGUUAAGAAAUGUAGGUUCGCUAAUAUCGGAUCUAUUUGACAAAGGCUCCAAAGGAAGCCACGGUUAACUCUGUGCCAGCAGCCGCGGUAAUACAGAGGUGGCAAGCGUUGUUCGGUAUUAUUGGGCGUAAAGAGCACGUAGGUGGUUUUGUAAGUCAGAUGUGAAAGCCUUCUGUUCAACGGAAGAAUUGCAUCUGAAACUACAGACCUUGAGUAUAGGAGGGGAGAAUGGAACUUCUGGUGGAGCGGUGAAAUGCGUAGAUAUCAGAAGGAACGCCGGCGGCGAAAGCGAUUCUCUGGCCUAUCACUGACACUCAGUGUGCGAAAGCUAGGGGAGCAAACGGGAUUAGAUACCCCGGUAGUCCUAGCCGUAAACGAUGGGCACUAAGUAGAGGGGUUA